CGGGUGCACUGAUCCAGCCGGGCCUUUCCCUCUGUGGAACCCCAUGGCCUUCACUGGCUGUGGUGGGGAAACAGGACUUUUACUUUGAAAAAAUUAGAGUGCUCCAGGCAGGCCUAUGCUCGAAUACAUUAGCAUGGAAUAAUAGAAUAGGACGUGUGGUUCUAUUUUGUUGGUUUCUAGGACCGCCGUAAUGAUUAAUAGGGACAGUCGGGGGCAUCAGUAUUCAAUUGUCAGAGGUGAAAUUCUUGGAUCUAUUGAAGACUAACUACUGCGAAAGCAUUUGCCAAGGAUGUUUUCAUUGAUAAGGAACGAAAGUUAGGGGAUCGAAGACGAUCUGAUACCGUCGUAGUCUUAACUAUAAACUAUGCCGACUAGGGAUCGGACGAUGUUAUUCUUUGACGCGUUCGGCACCUUUCGAGAAAUCAAAGUGCUUGGGCUCCAGGGGGAGUAUGGUCGCAAGGCUGAAACUUAAAGAAAUUGACGGAAGGGCACCACCAGGGGUGGAACCUGCGGCUUAAUUUGACUCAACACGGGGAAACUCACCAGGUCCAGACACAGUGAGGAUUGACAGAUUGAGAGCUCUUUCUUGAUUCUGUGGGUGGUGGUGCAUGGCCGUUCUUAGUUGGUGGAGUGAUUUGUCUGCUUAAUUGCGAUAACGAACGAGACCUUAACCUGCUAAAUAGCCCGUACUGCUUUGGCAGUUCGCCGGCUUCUUAGAGGGACUAUCGG
rnacentral:rRNA from 1 species